UACGGAGGGUGCAAGCGUUAUCCGGAUUCACUGGGUUUAAAGGGCGCGUAGGCGGCGCGGCAAGUCUGUGGUGAAAGCUCGUGGCUCAACUGCGAGUCGGCCAUGGAUACUGCUGCGCUCGAGCACUGUAGAGGCAGGUGGAAUUCCGGGUGUAGCGGUGGAAUGCGUAGAGAUCCGGAAGAACACCGGUGGCGAAGGCGGCCUGCUGGGCAGUAGCUGACGCUGAGGCGCGACAGCGUGGGGAGCAAACAGG
rnacentral:rRNA from 1 species